GACGAAGGGGGGCUAGCGUUGUUCGGAAUUACUGGGCGUAAAGCGCGUGUAGGCGGUUGUCCAAGUUGGAUGUGAAAGCCUUGAGCUCAACUCAAGAAAUGCAUUCAGGACUGGAUGACUAGAGGACCGGAGAGGAUAGUGGAAUUCCCAGUGUAGUGGUGAAAUACGUAGAGAUUGGGAAGAACACCAGUGGCGAAGGCGGCUAUCCGUGGUACGGUU
rnacentral:rRNA from 1 species